AUGAAAAUAUUUAUAGUCUAGCCUGCUCACUGAUAAUAAUAUUAAAUAGCCGCGGUAUCCUGACCGUGCAAAGGUAGCAUAAUCACUAGUUCUUUAAUAGGGGACUUGUAUGAAUGGUUGGACAAGGAAGAAACUGUCUCUUUUAUUAAAAUUGAAUUUAACUUUUAAGUGAAAAGGCUUAAAUUCUUCAAGGGGACGAUAAGACCCUAUAAAGCUUUACAAGUUUAGGGAUUUUAUAUAUUUUUAUAUAAUUAUAGCUUCUUGACGAUUUGUUGGGUUGGGGCGACAAUAGUAUAAUAAAAGUAACUGCUUGAAUUAAAUACAAAUAUAUUUGAUUAUUAUAUAUUAGUAGAUCCUUUAUAAAGAUUUAAAGACUAAGUUACUUUAGGGAUAACAGCGUUAUUUUUCCUGAGAGUCCUUAUCGAAGGAAAAGUUUGCGACCUCGAUGUUGAAUUAAAAUGUCUUUAUAGGGCAGCAUCUAUAUAAGAAGGUCUGUUCGACCUUUAAUAU
rnacentral:rRNA from 1 species